CACCGCGGUUAUACGAGUGACCCAAGCUGAUAGUCGUCGGCGUAAAGCGUGGUUAGGGAAAUACCCCAAAUAAAGCCGAACACCCUCAAAGCUGUUGUACGCAUCCGAAAGGUAGAAGAACAAUCACGAAAGUAGCUUUAUCUGACCUGAUUCCACGUAAGCUGGGGUA
rnacentral:rRNA from 1 species